AUUUGGCAUCCCAGGAUAAAAACAGAAGGUGUGGGAAGCUGAACCUAUAAAGGGGAGUGAAGCACAGAGAACCCCCGAGUACCACGCCAGUCACCGCACAAUGACACCGACGGCUACAGUGCUGACGCUAGGCCUCUUCCUGCUGGCGGCCACCACGCUCACGGAGGCCAAACCAGCACCUGUCUUAGACGCCGUCGGUGACUUCGUUGAGAACGUCGGGGAGGGCGUGGGUAACUUCUUUGAGGGCGUCGGUGAUUUCUUCUCAAAUAUCUUCAGUGGAGCCGGAAGCAGGAGCCGGACCACUCCAGUAUCUCACGCCCCACCACUAAUACUGCCUCCUAUCGUAGGCCCCUUAGUACCUCACGCCGAAAUGGACCCCUCACACAAUGUUGUUGAUGUUAGCAACUACAGGGUGGUCCUCGACUAGUGGACGGUGAAGGAGGAGGUGUUGGGGGGGGUACUGAUUGAGGAGGAGGUGGAGGAGGAGGUGUUGUGGGGGGUACUGAUUGAGGAGGAGGUGAAGGUAGAGGUUGAAGCAAUGAAAGGGUGUAAGAGAUGCGUUAGAGGUACUGAAGGAAAUUAUUACUGAGAGAAAUGAAGGAAGUGGAAUAGGAACCAAUGAAGGAAGCGAUAGAAGAAGAGAAGACGAAUGAAACAAUGAAGAAGGUAAUGUAGGAAAAAAGUGCACAACGUACUACCAACAUGAAAGUACUUAAUUGUUUACAAAAGGCUCACUAUAGUUGUUAAUAAAAUAUGCACAAGAGUCUUAUAAAUGUCUUAUAUUUUCCUGACAUAUAGUAAAGAUUCAGGCAAAGUA